CGUCGUCAGUUUACCCUGUGAAGGACUUAUAGUAAGCAAAAUUGGUACAACCCUAAACGCCAGGUCGAGGUGUAGCGUAUGGAAGGGGAAGAAAUGGGCUACAUUCUCUACCAUAGAGAAAACGAAUGAUGUACUGAAAUACACGUCUGAAGGAGGAUUUAGCAGUAAGCAGGAAAUAGAGUGUCCCGCUGAAAUUGGCCCUGAAGCGCGCACACACCGCCCGUCACUCUCCCCAAACUAAUUGAAUUCAAUUAAAUAAAACCCCAUCACAGUAAAGGGGAGGCAAGUCGUAACAUGGUAAGUGUACCGGAAGGUGCACUUGGAAAAAC
rnacentral:rRNA from 1 species